rnacentral:rRNA from 1 species
UACGGAGGGUGCAAGCGUUAUCCGGAUUCACUGGGUUUAAAGGGUGUGUAGGCGGGCUGUUAAGUCAGUGGUGAAAUCUCCAGGCUCAACCUGGAAACUGCCAUUGAUACUAUCAGUCUUGAAUUUUGUUGAGGUAGGCGGAAUAUAUCAUGUAGCGGUGAAAUGCUUAGAUAUGAUAUAGAACACCGAUUGCGAAGGCAGCUUACUAAGCAAAUAUUGACGCUGAGGUACGAAAGCGUGGGGAUCAAAAAGG